rnacentral:rRNA from 1 species
UGAGGAAUAUUGGUCAAUGGACGAGAGCCUGAACCAGCCAAGUAGCGUGCAGGAUGACGGCCCUAUGGGUUGUAAACUGCUUUUAUAUGGGAAUAAAGUGAGGGACGUGUCCCUUAUUGCAUGUACCAUAUGAAUAAGGACCGGCUAAUUCCGUGCCAGCAGCCGCGGUAAUACGGAAGGUCCAGGCGUUAUCCGGAUUUAUUGGGUUUAAAGGGAGCGUAGGCUGUUUGUUAAGCGUGUUGUGAAAUGUAAGAGCUCAACUUUUAGAUUGCAGCGCGAACUGGCAGACUUGAGUGCGCACAACGUAGGCGGAAUUCAUGGUGUAGCGGUGAAAUGCUUAGAUAUCAUGACGAACUCCGAUUGCGAAGGCAGCUUACGGGAGCGCAACUGACGCUAAAGCUCGAAGGUGCGGGUAUCGAACAGG